UUUAUCUUCUUGUUUCCCACUUUGGUGCCUUAUUCUCACUUUAGUGUUCCAUCUUUCUUCGUUCUGCUUGCUAUCUCACUCUUUCAGAUUUUGCUAAUAAUUGAGCUGAGUAAAAUUUUAUUGUUGUAAUACUAUGCUGGAAUGAACGUCGUGGACUCGUGCCCCUCGCCUUCAGCAGAAAAUUGCAAGCUUUGAAGAGAUAUGGGUUCCUUCAUUGCAUAAUUUGGAACAUAGUGACUGAAAAAAGCUUGACAAUGCACUAUCAAUAUGUCCAGUGUUGAGUAUAUCAAACUACUUCACCAUUAGCUACAGUUAUACGGUUAACAGUUUAGCUAGCACUUAUGUUAAGAUCCCGAGAUGGUCUCGCACUGCUAGAAGGGCAUAAUUCACGGGCCUCACAGUGAAAGCACGCUGGAAGGAUCCAAUUUUCAUAUACGCGGGCAGUUAUGGAGAGAGAGAAAUUGGAAGAUUUGGGAAAGUUCUUGAGAGCUUUGAAGAGGAUUAUGGCCAACUGUUAAUGCACCAUUAAGUGAAGUCGUUCCUCGGACUUUCUUGAGGAAACAUAUAAGGCUACCACCUUGCUAGAUGUGAAUGAUCAUUGAUUUGUCAGAUUAGUGGCCUAUUAGUUGAAAGAUGUAAAUGACCUUUGGUUCAAGUGCGUGGGGAAGAACAAGCCAUAGGACACACCUUCAAUGACUUGGGAAAAAUUCACCAAAAUAAUUAUUAAGAUGGUUGUUGUCGGGAGUGAAUGUCGCCCUUCGAUACCGUUUGAGACUCUGAAGCAAGAUGCCUUGUAUGUCUCAGAGUACAUUAUCAAGUUUGAGCCCCAAGGUAAUUUUAUUUCAAACAUUAAGACGAGGAAGAUGAUCACCAAUGGAUGUCUUUACCAUCUAGUCAAAGUCACUGAUGCAUACAUCGAGGUACCAAGCGUCUAGUCUGUACUAGUUGUUAGUGAGCUUCCUGUCACCCCCAAAAAGUCCUCUUCAAUUGUUCUUCCUUUGAUUUUUUUUAAGAAUCUAUGGAUUGGAAUGAUAAUCUAAUGUUAAUCCUUGUUAUUUUAAUAUAGUUUAAUCAUAGGAUGCUUAAAAA